GACGAGGGAUCCUAGCGUUGUUCGGAAUUACUGGGCGUAAAGCGCGUGUAGGCGGCUAAGUAAGUCGGGCGUGAAAUCCCACGGCUCAACCGUGGAAGUGCACUCGAAACUGCGUAGCUAGAGUCCUGGAGAGGAAGGUGGAAUGCUUGGUGUAGAGGUGAAAUUCGUAGAUAUCAAGCGGAACACCGGUGGCGAAGGCGGCCUUCUGGACAGUGACUGACGCUGAGACGGCGAAAAGCGUGGGGAGCAACAGGG
rnacentral:rRNA from 1 species